AGGAACUCUGGAGAAUCCCGCUCAGGGCGGGUGCCGAAGGUGCAAGGCGUUUUGAGGCAGGUCAAGGAGGCCGACAGGCGCUGAAUCUCUCAGGCAAAAGGACAGAAGU
rnacentral:ncRNA from 1 species